rnacentral:rRNA from 1 species
AGAAUCAACGCUGGCGGCGUGCCUAACACAUGCAAGUCGAACGAGAAAGUGGAGCAAUCCAUGAGUAAAGUGGCGCACGGGUGAGUAACACGUGACUAACCUACCCUUGAGUGGGGGAUAACCUAGAGAAAUCUGGGCUAAUACCGCAUAAUACCUUCGGGUCAAAGGAGCAAUUCGCUUAAGGAGGGGGUCGCGGCCGAUUAGUUAGUUGGCGGGGUAAUGGCCCACCAAGACUGUGAUCGGUAUCCGGCCUGAGAGGGCGCACGGACACACUGGAACUGAAACACGGUCCAGACUCCUACGGGAGGCAGCAGUGGGGAAUUUUGCGCAAUGGGGGAAACCCUGACGCAGCAACGCCGCGUGGAGGAUGAAGCCCCUUGGGGCGUAAACUCCUUUCGAUCGGGAAGAUAAUGACGGUACCGAGAGAAGAACGCCCCGGCUAACUUCGCGCCAGCAGCCGC